AGUGCUGACUUAUCCAACCUGUUUUCUAGGUUUCCUAGAUCUAAAAGAAAGGCUGAGUUAGAGUACCCUUCCAAAAUGGCUGCUAUUAAGGAAGAGAGAGAGGUGGAAGACUACAAGAGGAAAGGAAGACGAUCCUCACAGCAGAAAUACCGUAGACUGAAUAAGGGCCAUGAGCCGAAGGAGCCAGAGCAGUUGCGAAAGCUGUUCAUUGGAGGUCUGAGCUUUGAAACAACAGAUGAUAGCUUGAGAGAGCACUUUGAAAAAUGGGGCACACUCACGGACUGUGUGGUGAUGAGAGACCCCCAGACAAAACGUUCCAGAGGCUUUGGCUUUGUGACUUACUCUUGUGUGGAGGAGGUGGAUGCUGCCAUGAGUGCUCGACCACAUAAGGUUGAUGGGCGCGUGGUUGAACCAAAGAGAGCAGUUUCGAGGGAGGAUUCUGUAAAGCCUGGGGCACAUCUCACAGUAAAGAAAAUAUUUGUUGGUGGAAUUAAAGAAGAUACAGAAGAAUAUAAUUUAAGGGAGUACUUUGAAAAAUAUGGCAAGAUUGAAACCAUAGAAGUCAUGGAAGACAGGCAGAGUGGAAAGAAAAGAGGCUUCGCUUUUGUAACUUUUGAUGAUCAUGAUACAGUUGAUAAAAUUGUUGUUCAGAAAUACCAUACUAUAAAUGGACAUAACUGUGAAGUGAAAAAAGCUCUCUCAAAACAAGAGAUGCAGACUGCUAGCUCUCAGAGAGUGAAAUAUUUUGUAGGUCGUGGGGGUGGCUCCGGCAACUUCAUGGGCCGUGGAAACUUUGGAGGCGGUGGAGGGAACUUUGGCCGAGGAGGAAACUUUGGUGGGAGAGGAGGCUAUGGGGGUGGUGGUGGCGGUGGUGGGAGCAGAGGAAGCUUUGGGGGUGGUGACGGAUACAAUGGAUUUGGCGAUGGUGGCAACUAUGGAGGUGGUCCUGGCUAUGGCAGCAGAGGAGGUUAUGGUGGUGGUGGAGGACCAGGAUAUGGAAACCCAGGUGGUGGAUAUGGAGGUGGUGGAGGAGGAUACGAUGGCUACAAUGAAGGAGGAAAUUUUGGUGGUGGUAAUUAUGGUGGAAGUGGAAACUACAAUGAUUUUGGCAAUUACAGUGGCCAGCAGCAGUCUAACUAUGGUCCCAUGAAAGGUGGUGGUAGCUUUGGUGGCAGAAGUUCAGGCAGUCCCUAUGGUGGUGGUUAUGGAUCUGGAAGUGGAAGUGGGGGCUAUGGUGGUAGAAGAUUCUAAAAAUGCUACCAGAAAAAGGGCAAUUUUCUGGACACAUUCUUCUGACUGGGAGCCAAGGGUAGCGCAGGUGUAAUCACUGACAGUCCCAGGUAAUGCGUUCCAAAAGCCCAUUCCCCGUGGGCUCUGAAGUAGUAUAGUUUGUAAGCUGCUUCCCUUGCAGAUGUCUGUGCUCAGCUAAGAGCUUGAAAAUAAAACACCAUCUAAUUGUAUUUUUCCGACUAGAAACACUUCCCACAAUGUAGAAUGUACAGUCUCAAGUUCCCACAGGCAGAGUGAUAGUGUGCUGCGACUGGAUUUGGUGCACUGGAGUAGCAAAUGUUACCAGCGCAUAUGGCUAGAAAUGGUACUCCAUUCUCACUUCUGACCUCCAAAUUAAGGCACUGCAGUCUGUCCUGUCCUCAUCUGAUGUGAAUUCUCUUGACUAUUGCCAGGCCAGUGCUUGCUGUCCAUUCAGACUAAGAAGAGUAGGGACCCAGUCAAUAAAAGAAAUACUCAGACACUUGGCAAUAUGUAUUGGAAUUACUCACACCUGUUUCACUUCUGGGUCAAUGUGCAGUAUAAGGUAAAUGCAAUUCCAGUAUAGGAAUGAAUCUGCAAAGAUGUAUGAAAUGGCUCAAGGCAUAAUCAGUCAUAUUAAUAAUGAAUUAUAAUUUUUAAGAAGUGGUAGAAAAAUGAGUGUGUUGUUUGAAAAAAAAAAAUUAAACAUAUGUUAUUUAAACACUGUUAUUGGAGUGUAUUUAGACUGCAGUACACUAAAACAAGGAACCAGUGUCAAGAUGGUAGCGUCCAAAAUGGAUUUCAAAGUCUGCUGCUUAUUUUCUGUGGAGUUUUAAAAGAUCUCAAAAGUUAAAGCAAGAAUUGGUGGUUUAGUGAACGCUUCUGUUGUACAUAUUCAUUUGGGCUUGGGGUGGGGGGGAGGCUGUACUUCAAUAAAGGCAUUUUUUAAACAACCCAUUUGGAGUUUGAAAACAUGGGAAACUAAACCACAACUCACUAGGGAGUGAGACACCAAACUACCGACUUGUUUUGUAUGUUACUAUGCUGUAGAAGAUGUGUAGACUUGCACUUGGGGUCUGCAACUGAUUGCAGGGACAACUGGAGGAUGGGGUUGAUGUCCCUUCUGACAAUUGAUCUGGUAUUUCUAAAUUUUUUUAGAAUGUAUUGACAGUGUUCUUUUUAACAGGGCCUCUUGUAGCUGUACUGUGACAACAAUGUUAACUUUGAAAAAUAGUGUCAUAAUAAACUUUAUGAACAAGAUCUGUAUGCAACCUUUUAAGAGAUGGAUGUUGAAUGAGAAGCUGCUGCUUGACAAAAUGGGGAAUGUCUUGCACAUCCUCUUCAGUUGAAGGUUUCUGACUGGGUUGCCAUCUCUAUCUAUUAGCUUUUUCCUGAACUAAAGUAAUCCAAGUAUCUCCAAGUAGAAGAAAAAUGGCCUUCAUGUAGAAGAUAAUAUCGCAAGACUGGAAACAGAAUAAAAUGGUAUAAUAACUGGCAAAGACUUCAAGAGCAAUGGUGCUAGUGUGCUGGAAUCUCAGAACUUGUGGUUAAACAAGUUAAAAUAGCAUAGAAAUUAAAAAUUUCAGUAUAGUCCAUAAUGGAUUGAAAUUUGUUUAAAAUAUUUCAAUUUUGUAUCAGAAUAAAGUGUAUAUUGUCAAAUGACUUACAAUCUAAAAUGCGUUGCCAUCACCUUUUUUUAGUGCUGUGAUGAACACAAAGCGGUCUUGAAUUAUUGCAACACGUUUUCUUACAGGAUCAUCUUUCCAACUUGGGGACUGCAAGUCAGAAAACCUUGGUUCAGCCCAUCUUUUCAGCUUUACUUUUAACAGUUUUAAAACUGGAUGUUUUGAUCAAGAAAUAAAUGGUUUCCAUGUGGAAAAUUGUCAGCAUAUAAGGUCAGCAUUGUGAUGCUUUAGACUUGUCAGUGUCUCUAGCCACUCUCAGGUUUGGGAAUAUACUCUGUACCUCAGUAAUAAUAAUAAAGGUUAUAGUUUGCACUAUGAAGUUUUUA